rnacentral:rRNA from 1 species
AGCGAACGCUGGCGGCAGGCUUAACACAUGCAAGUCGAACGGGCGUAGCAAUACGUCAGUGGCAGACGGGUGAGUAACGCGUGGGAACGUACCUUUGGUUCGGAACAACCCAGGGAAACUUGGGCUAAUACCGGAUAAGCCCUUACGGGGAAAGAUUUAUCGCCGAAAGAUCGGCCCGCGUCUGAUUAGCUAGUUGGUGUGGUAACGGCGCACCAAGGCGACGAUCAGUAGCUGGUCUGAGAGGAUGAUCAGCCACAUUGGGACUGAGACACGGCCCAAACUCCUACGGGAGGCAGCAGUGGGGAAUAUUGGACAAUGGGCGCAAGCCUGAUCCAGCCAUGCCGCGUGAGUGAUGAAGGCCCUAGGGUUGUAAAGCUCUUUUGUGCGGGAAGAUAAUGACGGUACCGCAAGAAUAA